rnacentral:rRNA from 1 species
GUAGCCUGCAGUCGAGCGAACAGAUAAGGAGCUUGCUCCUUUGACGUUAGCGGCGGACGGGUGAGUAACACGUGGAUAACCUACCUAUAAGACUGGGAUAACUUCGGGAAACCGGAGCUAAUACCGGAUAACAUAUUGAACCGCAUGGUUCAAUAGUGAAAGGCGGCUUUGCUGUCACUUAUAGAUGGAUCCGCGCCGUAUUAGCUAGUUGGUAAGGUAACGGCUUACCAAGGCAACGAUACGUAGCCGACCUGAGAGGGUGAUCGGCCACACUGGAACUGAGACACGGUCCAGACUCCUACGGGAGGCAGCAGUAGGGAAUCUUCCGCAAUGGGCGAAAGCCUGACGGAGCAACGCCGCGUGAGUGAUGAAGGUCUUCGGAUCGUAAAACUCUGUUAUCAGGGAAGAACAAAUGUGUAAGUAACUGUGCACAUCUUGACGGUACCUGAUCAGAAAGCCACGGCUAACUACGUGCCAGCAGCCGCGGUAAUACGUAGGUGGCAAGCGUUAUCCGGAAUUAUUGGGCGUAAAGCGCGCGUAGGCGGUUUUUUAAGUCUGAUGUGAAAGCCCACGGCUCAGCCGUGGAGGGUCAUUGGAAACUGGAAAACUUGAGUGCAGAACAGGAAAGUGGAAUU